rnacentral:rRNA from 1 species
CGGUCCAGACUCCUACGGGAGGCAGCAGUAGGAAUCUUCGGCAAUGGACGAAAGUCUGACCGAGCAACGCCGCGUGAAGUGAAGAAGGUUCGGAUCGUAACCUCUGUUGUUAGAGAAGAACGUUGCAUAGAGUGGAAAUUAUGCAAGUGACGGUAUCUAACCAGAAGGGACGGCUAAACUACGUGCCAGCAGCCGCGGUAA